UCUCUGGUGGUCCAGUGGCUAAGACGCCACGCUCCCAACAUGGGGGCCCAGGUUCAAUCCCUGGUCAGGGAA